CGGAAUUACUGGGCGUAAAGCGUGCGCAGGCGGUGAUGUAAGACAGAUGUGAAAUCCCCGGGCUCAACCUGGGAACUGCAUUUGUGACUGCAUCGCUUGAGUACGGCAGAGGGGGAUGGAAUUCCGCGUGUAGCAGUGAAAUGCGUAGAUAUGCGGAGGAACACCGAUGGCGAAGGCAAUCCCCUGGGCCUGUACUGACGCUCAUGCACGAAAGCGUGGGGAGCAAACAGG
rnacentral:rRNA from 1 species